UUUGUUACUAUCUAAUAGCAAAGAGAUUUGGCAGUGCCAUCAACUGGACAGCAACCCUGGCCAUUGUAUUUAUGCUGAAAGAAAGCAUGACCUUUGUGCGUAGUACAUCGGUAGGCCGAUUCGUUCCAGUGGACUCGAUGGUAUAUAUCCAUAAAGUCAAUGGUUAUGUUGUGGUUGUCGCGAUAUUCGGUCACAUCAUCAUGCAUUUCGCUACAUACGGGCGUGUUAAAUUGUGUGGAUUAGCCUAGCUGAACUAUUCCAGUGCUGGAGAAGCAAAUACGAGCACAAUCUUAUCGCCUACGCUGGACAUCAUUUCUGGCUGGUUCAGUUUCGCCGCCACCUUGGUUACUUUCACUGGAUCUUACCCUGCGUGAGAAGAACUGGACAUUUCGAGGUCUUUUUUUAUACUCAUCUUUCCGGAUACAUCACCUUCUAUGUUGCACUCUUGCUGCACACGUUGCAUCAUAAAUUUUGGCAGUUCAUACUUGUUCCGGGAACGAUGUACCUAUAUAGUCGAAAAGGCAUAUGCCAGCUGGAUGAUUCACCGCAAAGCAGGAUAUAAGGUGAUGAUAAGAAAAGUCGUCCAGUGGCCAUCCGGAGUUACCCAGCUUACCGUGGAUCGCCCAGCACAUUUCGUUUACAAUCCCGGUGAUUAUAUUCAGAUCAAAAUACCCGCUCUCGCAUGGUUUGAGUGGCAUCCGUUUACUAUUAGCAGUUGCCCGGAAGAGAAAAAUUGUUAUUGCAGCAAUAUUCGAGUUCAACGGUUUUGCAUCAAUCUUGGCAUC